rnacentral:rRNA from 1 species
AACGAACGCUGGCGGCGUGGAUAAGACAUGCAAGUCGAACGCUGGCUAUGAGGUAGCAAUAUUUCAUAGUCGGAGUGGCGCAAGGGUGCGUAACACGUGGGUAAUUUGCCGUGAAGUUGGGGAUAACUCGCUGAAAGGCGAGCUAAUACCGGAUGUGAUAGUUUGGAGGCAUCUCUGGAUUAUCAAAGUUGGGGACCGAAAGGCCUGACGCUUCACGAUAAGCCCGCGGCCUAUCAGCUAGUUGGUGAGGUAACGGCUCACCAAGGCUUAGACGGGUAGCUGGUCUGAGAGGACGACCAGCCACACUGGAACUGAGACACGGUCCAGACACCUACGGGUGGCAGCAGUCGAGAAUUUUUCACAAUGGGGGAAACCCUGAUGGAGCGACGCCGCGUGGGGGAUGAAUGGCUUCGGCCCGUAAACCCCUGUCAUUUGCGAACAAACUUCAUGCAUGAAUAGUGCAUGAAUUGAUUGUAGCGGAAGAGGAAGGGACGGCUAACUCUGUGCCAGCAGCCGCGGUAAUACAGAGGUCCCAAGCGUUGUUCGGAUUCACUGGGCGUAAAGGGUGCGUAGGUGGUCGGGUAAGUCUGAUGUGAAAUCUCGGAGCUCAACUCCGAAACUGCAUUGGAUACUAUCCGGCUAGAGGAUCGGAGGGGGGACUGGAAUUCUCGGUGUAGCAGUGAAAUGCGUAGAUAUCGAGAGGAACACCAGUGGCGAAGGCGAGUCCCUGGACGACUCCUGACACUGAGGCACGAAAGCUAGGGGAGCAAACAGGAUUAGAUACCCUGGUAGUCCUAGCCGUAAACGGUGCGUAUUUGCUGUAAAAGGAAUCGACCCCUUUUGUGGCGUAGCUAACGCGAUAAAUACGCCGCCUGGGAAGUACGGUCGCAAGAUUA